rnacentral:rRNA from 1 species
AUUGAACGCUGGCGGCAUGCUUUACACAUGCAAGUCGAACGGUAACAGGCCGCAAGGUGCUGACGAGUGGCGAACGGGUGAGUAAUGCAUCGGAACGUGCCCAGUCGUGGGGGAUAACUACUCGAAAGAGUAGCUAAUACCGCAUACGAUCUAUGGAUGAAAGCGGGGGACCGUAAGGCCUCGCGCGAUUAGAGCGGCCGAUGUCAGAUUAGGUAGUUGGUGGGGUAAAGGCUCACCAAGCCAACGAUCUGUAGCUGGUCUGAGAGGACAACCAGCCACACUGGGACUGAGACACGGCCCAGACUCCUACGGGAGGCAGCAGUGGGGAAUUUUGGACAAUGGGCGCAAGCCCGAUCCAGCAAUGCCGCGUGCAGGAAGAAGGCCUUCGGGUUGUAAACUGCUUUUGUACGGAACGAAACGGCUCUGGUUAAUACCCGGGGCUAAUGACGGUACCGUAAGAAUAAGCACCGGCUAACUACGUG